GAGAGAGAAAACUUGUGUUUUUUUUUUUUUUUAAUUCCUGUUUAAAGAGAGAGAGAGAGAGAAAAAAGAGAGAGUCCAAGAAAGAAACCAAAUCCUCUUGUGGCCUCCUCUUUACAUUUUUUCAGGAGAGAGAAAACUCAAAGCAGCUCUCUCUGGCCUUUGUUUUCUGAAAUCGAUCUCUUCUUCUUCUUCAUGAUCUGGUUGGUUUUUGUGCAUCUGAGUUUGUAAGUUAAAAAAAAAAAAAAAAACAGUGCGGAUAUGUCGUCGCUUAGCAGAGAGCUCGUAUUCUUGAUCUUACAGUUUCUAGAUGAGGAGAAGUUCAAGGAGACUGUUCAUAAGCUUGAACAAGAGUCUGGGUUUUUCUUCAACAUGAAGUAUUUUGAGGAUGAGGUGCACAAUGG